CCUGAGUUGUAAUUUGCAGAGGAUGCUUUUGGCGAGGCGCCUUCCGAGUUCCCUGGAACGGGACGCCACAGAGGGUGAGAGCCCCGUCUGGUUGGACGCCGAGCCUCUGUAAAGCUCCUUCGACGAGUCGAGUAGUUUGGGAAUGCUGCUCUAAAUGGGAGGUAUAUGUCUUCUAAAGCUAAAUACCGGCCAGAGACCGAUAGCGCACAAGUAGAGUGAUCGAAAGAUGAAAAGCACUUUGAAAAGAGGGUUAAACAGUACGUGAAAUUGUUGAAAGGGAAGCGCUUGUGGCCAGACUUGGGCCCGGUGAAUCACCCAGCGUUCUCGCUGGUGCACUUUGCCGGGCCCAGGCCAGCAUCAGCCUGCCCCGGGGGACAAAGGCUCUGGGAACGUGGCUCCCUCGGGAGUGUUAUAGCCCACUGCGCAAUGCCCUGGGGCGGACUGAGGUUCGCGCGUCCGCAAGGAUGCUGGCGUAAUGGUCAUCAGCGACCCGUCUUGAAACACGGACCAAGGAGUCGUCUUCGUAUGCGAGUGUUCGGGUGUGAAACCCCCUACGCGGAAUGAAAGUGAACGCAGGUGAGAGCUUCGGCGCAUCAUCGACCGAUCCUGAUGUUCUCGGAUGGAUUUGAGUAGGAGCAUACGGGGCCGGACCCGAAAGAAGGUGAACUAUGCCUGUAUAGGGUGAAGCCAGAGGAAACUCUGGUG
rnacentral:rRNA from 1 species